AUUGAACGCUGGCGGCAGACUUAACACAUGCAAGUCGAGCGGAGAUGAGGUGCUUGCACCUUAUCUUAGCGGCGGACGGGUGAGUAAUGCUUAGGAAUCUGCCUAUUAGUGGGGGGCAACAUUCCGAAAGGAAUGCUAAUACCGCAUACGUCCUACGGGAGAAAGCAGGGGAUCUUCGGACCUUGCGCUAAUAGAUGAGCCUAAGUCGGAUUAGCUAGUUGGUGGGGUAAAGGCCUACCCAGGCGACGAUCUGUAGCGGGUCUGAGAGGAUGAUCCGCCACACUGGGACUGAGACACGGCCCAGACUCCUACGGGAGGCAGCAGUGGGGAAUAUUGGACAAUGGGGGGAACCCUGAUCCAGCCAUGCCGCGUGUGUGAAGAAGGCCUUAUGGUUGUAAAGCACUUUAAGCGAGGAGGAGGCUACUGAGACUAAUACUCUUGGAUAGUGGACGUUACUCGCAGAAUAAGCACCGGCUAACUCUGUGCCAGCCGCCGCCGUAACAC
rnacentral:rRNA from 1 species